rnacentral:rRNA from 1 species
CCUACGGGUGGCAGCAGUGAGGAAUAUUGGUCAAUGGACGAGAGUCUGAACCAGCCAAGUAGCGUGAAGGAUGACUGCCCUAUGGGUUGUAAACUUCUUUUAUAUGGGAAUAAAACGUUCCACGUGUGGGAUUUUGUAUGUACCAUAUGAAUAAGGAUCGGCUAACUCCGUGCCAGCAGCCGCGGUAAUACGGAGGAUCCGAGCGUUAUCCGGAUUUAUUGGGUUUAAAGGGAGCGUAGGUGGAUUGUUAAGUCAGUUGUGAAAGUUUGCGGCUCAACCGUAAAAUUGCAGUUGAAACUGGCAGUCUUGAGUACAGUAGAGGUGGGCGGAAUUCGUGGUGUAGCGGUGAAAUACUUAGAUAUCACGAAGAACUCCGAUUGCGAAGGCAGUUCACUGGACUGCAACUGACACUGAGGCUCGAAAGUGUGGGUAUCAAACAGGAUUAGAUACCCUAGUAGUC